UUCGCUACCUGGUCUGCCCCGACUGCGCGGUGCGGAGUGCAUUGGCGGCUACGCGUGGACGCGACCGGUGCGGCCGGAUGGGGACGGACCCUAGCGGCGCGGUCGGAUGGGUAAUGGACCCUAGCGGCAUGGUCGGAUGGGGCACGGGCGCCAGCGGAGGAGCCGGUUGGGGUGCAGCGGCCAACAUGCAUGAGAUUCAAUACCGAACGAUGAUUAAUCAGGCCAUGAAUGCCAGUCGAUGCUCCGGGUAGUUUAGUUUCAUCGUUAUUCAUGCCAAUUGAUUGAUUGUGAGGUUAAUCCUGUAUGCCAAUCGAUUAAUUGAGAGGUUAAUCGUAUCUUUGUAUAUUCACCCUAGCCUAUAAAAUCCCAAACUUGCCGCUGGUCCUUACCUACUCUACUCAUUUUCGCAAACCACAGUUCAAAAGCAAAGCGAUGGGUGAUGCUUAGAUUCCAACUCUGUUUGGUUUAAGCUUCUCUCCAGGUUGGAAUUCUAGCUACGUACUGCUUGGUAUCUUUGGUUCUUCUAGCUGAUCCAAUGGCUAAUGGACAGGCCACUUUACUGUUGUCGGAACUUAGUCCAUCUGUCAGGCAUGUCGCUGUCCUAGCACGUGUGGCUCGUGUUUGGGAUUUCAAUAAGGACAACGAGUUUAAGCAUCUGGACAUUGUCUUCAUUGAUAAGGAGGGAAACAAGAUGUACAGUGAGAUACUGGCACAAUAUGAGAAAUGUUCAGGGAGAAACUGAAGGAAGGGAAUGCUUGCCUUGUUAGAGAUUUCUUCGUCACCUCCUCAAAGAACAUGUACAGGGCUGUUGAUGGAAAUUUCAUGAUUAAAAUCACUCCCUGGUCAACUGUUGAGGUUAACGAUGAUGUGGCCACUGACUUUCCUCGAUAUGCAUACUCACUUACUAAUUUCCAAGUUCUUCCUAAAAUGGUUGGAAAAUAGACAACUUCAUAGGCAAGUAAAUUACUGUUUUCAUUUACCAUAGGUUUUACUGUGCUAAUUCCUUGAUUAUCCAUGAUACAUCUUCAUGACCAUGUUUAUGUAUACAGAUGUUAUUGGAAUAGUAUCUGGAAUUUCAGACAUGCUGAAGGUACGAUUACCUGCUAGAGAACAAGAAUCAGAUAAAAGGAACUUGCAGAUCACCAAUAUUGAUGGAAACACUAUGGAAGUUGCGCUAUGGGGAGAACAUGCAACUUCCUUCCAGGCUGAUGAUCUAUACAAUCUUGGUUAGAACCAGCCAGUUAUAGUUCUUUUGGUUGGCACUCUUAUGAAAAGUUACCUAGGACGUCCAACAAUAAGCUGCAGUGACGCUGCGAAGAUAUAUAUCAAUCCAGAUAUACCUGAGAAGAUAGAAUAUUGUACCAGACUAGGUAAGCAAAUGCCUACAAUGACAGUCAUGGCAGCACGUGAUGAUCGCUACAAUCCAGCAAUUAAUAAUGAAAGGGCUGACACCGUGAAGGUCGAGUUCCUGGUUACCAUGAAUCCUAAUGAAUUCCUUGGCAAGAAUAUGAUCAGCACGGUCACAAUAAUGAGACUGGCCUCAGAACAUUGGUGGUUCCUCUCUUGCCAAAUGUGCCAUAGGAAGGCAUUUCAAGUUGGGAGUGCAUUUGUUUGCAGCAAUAAAAAAUGUGGUUGUACAUCAGCUACACCAAGGUACAAGGUCCGUCUUAUUGGUGCCGACGAAUCAGGGGAAAUUGAGUUUGUGUUCUUUGCUUCAGUUGCUGAAUAGGCUAUUGGAAGAGAAUCGAAGUUAUCAUGCGCGGUGCAUCCGACCGUCCAUUUGUUGUUCCUGCAGAGAUAACAGCCUUGAUAUCCAAGAAAUUCACUCUUCACUUCACUGUGAAUGAAAAGGGCCUUCACUAUGGGUAACUAUCUUUCCAAGUGAACAGCAUAACACAGGUUCACGCAAAUACAAUUGUAUUCGAGUUCAACAAACUUAGCACUGGGUCAAGCAGCACAUCAACAGAGACAUCCAUGGAAACUAGCAAGGUAAACACUAGCAGUAACGACAAAGAACCCGAGGAGAAGGACAAGGAUAAGGACAACACUAAUGAAAGUGAUAAAAAUGAAGGACAGAUAUCUUCUACAGUUGAUUCAACGAUAAAAUCAUUUCUCAUUUCCUUGUAUCUUUGACUAAUAUAUUUACUUUAUUAUCACCAUGAAUUUUCUUUCAAUAAUUAAAGGAACAGAUAGCACCAUCUUCUGCCAAAGAACAGGAAACACAAUCUUCUGACAUCGCUACUGCAAGCAAAAAUGAUUCACACAAUCCUAGCAAGAAGCCAUCAAAAAGGACCGGCACUGAAGCCAACAAGUCAACUUCCGCAAAGAAGAAGAUGGAUGAUACUGUUGAACAUAGUGCUACUAAAUGUGGUAACGAGUUUAACUGUGGUGAUCACAAAGGAAUCAGCACUGAAGCACUAGCCACCGAUUACAACCAGCAGAUAGAUCAAUCUCAUUAUGACAAGCAUAGAAGGACCACAGAUCCUGAAGCUGAUAUGGAACUAACUACAAAAGGUACAAGGGUACUUCCACGACCAAUUCCUUCGACAAUGCCCGCAGAAUCUUCACUCGGAAAAAGAAAACAAGUGAUUUUCGACAAAUAACAUGUAGAUCCUACAACCAAACUCAUUCAUGUUCCUGGUGCAGCAGCAAAAGCAUAUAUUCCAAAACAUGUACUGCUAACAGAGAUCACAAUCGCACUUGGAUUGUCUAUAUACUCUACUGGGACUAUUCAUGAAUCCACAAUCGAUAUAAGAGGUUGGAUUGACAUAGAAGUACCCCCAAGUGAUGGCAAUGCAUUUGCAAAUAAGCGGAUUCUAUGGGGACACUGCACACACCACAUACCAUGCACUGGAAGAUGCAUGCCAAACUGCAAUGACCCAUUUAAUGGCAAAGUGCAGGGUUCAGAUUGAAGAUGCAAAUACAAAGAGGUUGUCGCCCUACGAAGAAAAUUACAUGCAGCAACAACCUUUGAAAACACAUUCAAAGAAAACAGUGAUGUCAACACAAAAUAUAUGGCUGCUCUAAAAGAUUCCAAUGAAAAAAUGGUACAUGCAAUCCAUCAGAUAUGUAUUGACAGUGCUGGUCUCCUGCCGAUAAAGGUAUCAACAGAAGAGACAACAAAAUCAACUUACAUUAAGGUGCAGUGUGAUGGACCUGUUCCACCUACAACUCAAAAAGAAAAGGUGGCGUCUGGGCAACUUUAGCAUCAACACAUGUGACAGUUGGUCUUCUUACAGUCAAAAAAGAAGAUGAACAUUACUGACAUGGCCUCUUCUGCUUCUAUCACCAUUCCGAAGUACACUGUUAAGAAAUAUUAUAGCUGCCUUGCACGGCAUUUAAAUAAAAUAGUAUUGCAAGUUCUUUGCUCAUUUUUUUGAGAAAUACUCUGUACCACCUUUCAUAACAUUUCAAU